rnacentral:rRNA from 1 species
ACAUAACUGAUGCCUCCGCGUAUCGACUUUGUGCGCAUUUUAGCUAUUAUGUGUUCUUUUAAUUAAAAUGAUUCUUUUUAAGAUUCAUCUAUUAAAAAUUUGCUUCGGCAUAAUUUUUUUUGAUGAUCUUGUUACUUUGAGUAAAUUAGAGUGUUCAAAGCAAACAGCUAUAGCAUUUGUGCGUUUGAAUACUACAGCAUGGAAUAACAAAAUUGAACAAGUCAGAAUUUUUUUGUUCUUUUUUCUUAUUUUGGCUUAGUUACGAUUAAUAGGAGUAGCUUGGGGGCAUUUGUAUUCAGAUGUCAGAGGUGAAAUUCUUAGAUUUUCUGGAGACAAACAACUGCGAAAGCAUUUGCCUAAAAUACUUCCAUUAAUCAAGAACGAAAGUUAAGGGAGUGAAGACGAUCAGAUACCGUCGUAAUCUUAACCAUAAACUAUGCCGACUAGGCUUUGGAUGAAAGAUUUUAAAAUAAGAGUUUUUCUUUUCUCUCCGGAGAUUAGAACUCUUAGAUUGCUUCCUUCAGUGCCUUAUGAGAAAUCAAAGUCUUUGGGUUCUGGGGCGAGUAUUCGCGCAAGCGAGAAAGUUAAAAGAAUUGACGGAAGGGCACCACCAGGCGUGGAGCUUGCGGCUUAAUUUGACUCAACACGGGAAAACUCACUAGUUUAAGACAAGAGUAGGAUUGACAGAUUAAUAGCUCUUUCUUGAUUUCUUGGAUGGUGAUGCAUGGCCGUUUUUAGUUCGUGAAUAUGAUUUGUCUGGUUAAUUCCGAUAACGAACGAGAUCUUAACCUGCUAAUUAGCGGCAAAUACGAUAUAUUCUUAUGUAGAAUUGAAUAUAGUGGAUUUGUUAGAUUUUGAAGAAAAUAUUGGAAUUACGUUAAAUGUGAUUCCUUUCCCUUUUCUACUUAAUUUACAUUUCCAUCUAUUUCUUUUUUGCGUAUGAAUGUAUUUGCUUGAUUGUAAAGCUUCUUAGAGGAACGAUGUGUG